AACCUGGGCUGGUGGGAGGUGUCCCUGCCCAUGGCAGGGGGUUGGGAUGAGGUCACCUUUAAGGUCCCUUCCAACCCAAACUGUUCCAUGGUUCUGUGAUCUAACAAAGGUUGAGCAGCUCCUCCACCUCCAAGACAUCCAGUCCUGCCUCCCCUCCCUCCGAAACCUCAGUCAUCUCCUGCCAUGGCCAAGGACCGGAUGGAAGUCACAGGGGGUGGACUCUGAGCUCAUCAUACCCAGGAACUGCCCGGUGCCCAUCAGCAGCUGGGAGAGCCCACAGGGGGACGUGCCAAGAAACCUGCACAUCCAUCAGGCCACAGCACUUUGCCACCCCUGGGGACGAGCAGCACCCGUGGCAUCACCUCCUUCAUCCUUCCAACACCUUCCUCUCACCAAGAAAGUGGUUCAGACACCGGCGAGGAAGAGCUGGAGGAGAGCAGCAAGCAAACCAAGGCUGGUUAGUUUGCACAGCCUCGUCGUGUCUCCAAAUUAAAGCUAAACUGAGGCUCC